AGCAGCCGCGGUAAUUCCAGCUCCAAUAGCGUAUAUUAAAGUUGCUGCAGUUAAAAAGCUCGUAGUUGAAUUUCGGGACCAAUAUGUCGGUCGUGCCUCGGUACGUACUGGCAUCGUUGGUUUCUCCCUUCUGACGAACCAUGAUGUCAUUUAUUUGGUGUCGUGGGGAAUCAGGACUGUUACUUUGAAAAAAUUAGAGUGUUUAAAGCAGGCUCACGCUUGAAUACAUUAGCAUGAAAUAAUGAAAUAGGACGUUUGAUUCUAUUUUGUUGGUUUCUAGGAUCGACGUAAUGAUUAAUAGGGAUAGUUGGGGGCAUUAGUAUUCAAUUGUCAGAGGUGAAAUUCUUGGAUUUAUUGAAGACUAACUACUGCGAAAGCAUUUGCCAAGGAUGUUUUCAUUAAUCAAGAACGAAAGUUAGGGGAUCGAAGACGAUCAGAUACCGUCGUAGUCUUAACCAUAAACUAUGCCGACUAGGGAUCGGAUGAUGUUAAUUUUUAAUGA
rnacentral:rRNA from 1 species